rnacentral:lncRNA from 1 species
CCACCUUACUAAGAAUGGGGGGAGCCAAGGACACAUUUUGGAGGUACCAGUUAUCAACAUUCUCUUCACUGGAAGACUGCUACCCAUUGCCAUCACCUUACUAAGAAUGGGGGAGCCAAGGACACAUUUUGGAGGUACCAGUUAACAUUCUCUUCACUGUGGAUUGCUACCCAUUGUCAUCACCUUACUGAGACUGGGAGGAGGCAAGGACACAUUUUGCAGGUACCUGUUAUUAUCAAGGAAAGUGGGGAGCAAGAGACUUCAUAGGGGAAGAAUAGGGAGUCAGAGAGGGAUCAGAGGUUGUCAAUUUGAUUGAGCAAAGCCUGGAAGCCCAAGCACAACAAUAAGAAAGACAGGAAAGCUUUAGAGGAAAGAUGCUAAGCUGGACUGAGCUGGGUCCAAGAAGCUGCUUACAUGUCUAAAAUAGGAUACAAGCAUGGGAGCAUGGCAAAGAGAGUCGUUGAUGAGACAUCAAAUUAGUCCUCUCUAAAGGGAAACCUUGGGAGGAGUCCAUUGCUCUACCCUCUGACUCUCCAAUCAAAAGGCUGGGAUUUCAGUAGAUGAGUUUAUUUUUAGGGACAUAGGAUGUUUAUGAAGUUGAAAUGAAGCAGAACAGCUGAUGGGGAAUAAAGAGAAGGAGAUAUAUAAGAAAGAUAUAAAUAUGGGAAAAUAGGACUUAGCAAUAUUUUCUGUGUGGGUAAAUAGGAGAGAGGAGUUGAAGGUGACACAAAAAUUGUGAGAUGGGGGAACUGGGAGGAUGGUGGUCCCUUUAACAAAACAAAGUUCAGAAAAGAGUCUGGGAGAUGAGGAAAGAAUGACUUGUUUGGGGGUCAUUUUCCAUUUGAGACACCUACUGAGAGGUCCAAAAGGCACUUGGCUAUUUGGAACUCAAAGAGGCUUAAGGCUUUUGGGAUGCGGCAGUUGUCUGUAUAGAGAUGAUCAUUGGGCCCAUGGAAGCUGAUAAAGUCAUCAGGAGAGGAAUUUUGAAUAAAGAAUAAAGGGAACCCAACCUUGGGUUCCUGCCACGGUUAGUGGGUAUGGGAAGGACAGAGAUCUCAGCGGCCUCCAUCAGCAAGAAGAGGAAAGCUGAGCCUAUCUGGGCUCACUGCUCUAGAGCCUGGGAAGGGCUGGGUUUGGAGCGUCAGAUGGAGAAGGCUGUGUGUCUGGGCUCCCUCAGCCCACACCCACCAUUCUGGGAUGGGUCAUGAUGGCCUAAGUCGCCUCAAAUUAGCAAAUGUGUUAAAAUAAAAGCUAUAAAAAGCUUCCUACACCUGGGCCUCCAUUGCCUCACC